AGUGAACGCUGGCGGUAGGCCUAACACAUGCAAGUCGAACGGCAGCACAGUAAGAGCUUGCUCUUACGGGUGGCGAGUGGCGGACGGGUGAGGAAUACAUCGGAAUCUACUUUUUCGUGGGGGAUAACGUAGGGAAACUUACGCUAAUACCGCAUACGACCUACGGGUGAAAGCAGGGGAGAUUCGGACCUUGCGCGAUUGAAUGAGCCGAUGUCGGAUUAGCUAGUUGGCGGGGUAAAGGCCCACCAAGGCGACGAUCCGUAGCUGGUCUGAGAGGAUGAUCAGCCACACUGGAACUGAGACACGGUCCAGACUCCUACGGGAGGCAGCAGUGGGGAAUAUUGGACAAUGGGCGCAAGCCUGAUCCAGCCAUACCGCGUGGGUGAAGAAGGCCUUCGGGUUGUAAAGCCCUUUUGUUGGGAAAGAAAAGCAGCAGGUUAAUCCCCCGCUGUUCUGACGGUACCCAAAGAAUAAGCACCGGCUAACUUCGUG
rnacentral:rRNA from 1 species